UGUGUGUGUGUGUGUGUGUGUAUGUGCGUGUGUGUGUGUGUGUGUGUAUGUGCGUGUGUCUGUAUGUGUGUGUGUGUGUGUGUGUGUGUGCGUGUGUGUGUGUGUGUGUGUGUAUGUGUGUGUGUGCAGCUAACUAAUUGCAGGGUUGAUGUGGAUUUCUCGGGACGUCACUGCACUGAGGGAAAAGUCCAUCUGUUGCCAACGCUCCUUCAUGCUUCAUGCUUGUUCAAGCGUUCAUAUGGAGUCUGGAACACAAAACUGCAAGUUAAAGCCUCAUGAAGAUAUUUGUGAAUGAACCUAAAACAAACUGCCUCACAUUAAAACACAUGAAAGUAAAUGUU